rnacentral:pre_miRNA from 1 species
AUACUGCAUCAGGAACUGAUUGGAUCCCAGGGAGCAGCCAUCAGUUCCUAAUGCAUUGCCU